UGGGGAAUAUUGCGCAAUGGGGGGAACCCUGACGCAGCCAUGCGCGUGAAUGAAGAAGGCCUUAGGGUUGUAAAGUUCUUUCGGUAUUGAGGAAGGUUGAUGUGUUAAUAGCACAUCAAAUUGACGUUAAAUACAGAAGAAGCACCGGCUAACUCCGUGCCAGCAGCCGCGGUAAUACGGAGGGUGCGAGCGUUAAUCGGAAUAACUGGGCGUAAAGGGCCCNCAGGCGGUUAUUUAAGUGAGGUGUGAAAGCCCCGGGCUUAACCUGGGAAUUGCAUUUCAGACUGGGUAACUAGAGUACUUUAGGGAGGGGUAGAAUUCCACGUGUAGCGGUGAAAUGCGUAGAGAUGUGGAGGAAUACCGAAGGCGAAGGCAGCCCCUUGGGAAUGUACUGACGCUCAUGUGCGAAAGCGGGGGGAGCAAACAGGAUUAGAUACCCUGGUAGUCCACGCUGUAAACGCUGUCGAUUUGGGGGUUGGGGUUUAACUCUGGGCGCCCGUAGCUAACGUGAUAAAUCGACCGCCUGGGGAGUACGGCCGCAAGGUUA
rnacentral:rRNA from 1 species